rnacentral:rRNA from 1 species
UACGAAGGUGGCAAGCGUUGUUCGGAUUUACUGGGCGUAAAGGGAGCGUAGGUGGUGGGGUAGGCCCCGCGGGAAAGCUCCAGGCUUAACCUGGAAAGGUCGCGGGGGACUGCUCCGCUCGAGGACGGGAGAGGAGCGCGGAAUUCCCGGUGUAGCGGUGAAAUGCGUAGAGAUCGGGAGGAAGGCCGGUGGCGAAGGCGGCGCUCUGGAACGGCCCUGACACUGAGGCUCGAAAGCGUGGGGAGCAAACAGG